AUUGAACGCUGGCGGCAGGCCUAACACAUGCAAGUCGAGCGAGCGGCGGACGGGUGAGUAAUGUAUGGGGACUGCCUGAUGGCGGGGGAUAACUACUGGAAACGGUAGCUAAUACCGCAUACCGUCCGCUAACCCAUCUGGGCUUAGCUAGUAGGUAAGGUAAAGGCUUACCUAGGCGACGAUCCCUAGCUGGUCUGAGAGGACGAGCAGCCACUCUGGGACUGAGACACGGCCCAGACUCCUACGGAGGCAGCAGUGGGGAAUAUGGCACAAUGGGCGCAAGCCUGAUGCAGCCAUGCCGCGUGUAUGAAGAAGGCCUUCGGGUUGUAAAGUACUUUCAGUCGGGAGGCGUUACCUACAGGAGAAGCACCGGCUAACUCCGUGCCAGACGCCGCGGUAAUUC
rnacentral:rRNA from 1 species